rnacentral:rRNA from 1 species
AACGAACGCUGGCGGCGUGCUUAACACAUGCAAGUCGCACGAGAAAGCUCUUCGGAGUGAGUAGAGUGGCGCACGGGUGAGUAAUGCAUAGGAACAUGCCCUUAGGUGGGGAAUAACCACGGGAAACUGUGGCUAAUACCGCAUAAUAUCUACGGAUUAAAGAUGGCCUCUUCUUGAAAGCUAUCGCCAAAGGAUUGGCCUAUGUCGCAUUAGCUUGUUGGUAAGGUAACGGCUUACCAAGGCGACGAUGCGUAGCUGGUCUGAGAGGAUGAUCAGCCACACUGGGACUGAGACACGGCCCAGACUCCUACGGGAGGCAGCAGUGGGGAAUUUUGCACAAUGGAGGAAACUCUGAUGCAGCAACGCCGCGUGAAUGAAGAAGGCCCUUGGGUCGUAAAGUUCUUUCGUUAGGGAAGAAGGGUAGAGUAGUUAAUACCUGCUUUAUUUGACGGUACCUAAAUAAGAAGCACCGGCUAAUUUCGUGCCAGCCGCCGCGGUAAAAC